rnacentral:rRNA from 1 species
GAGUUUGAUCGUGGCUCAGAGCGAACGCUGGCGGCAGGCCUAAUACAUGCAAGUCGAGCGGCCCUUCGGGGCAGCGGCGGACGAGUGAGUAACGCGUGGGAACGUGCCCUUUGGUUCGGAACAACACAGGGAAACUUGUGCUAAUACCGAAUGUGCCCUUCGGGGAAAGAUUUAUCGCCAUUGGAGCGGCCCGCGUUGGAUUAGCUAGUUGGUGGGGUAAAGGCCCACCAAGGCGACGAUCCAUAGCUGGUCUGAGAGGAUGAUCAGCCACACUGGGACUGAGACACGGCCCAGACUCCUACGGGAGGCAGCAGUAGGGAAUCUUGCGCAAUGGGCGAAAGCCUGACGCAGCCAUGCCGCGUGAAUGAUGAAGGUCUUAGGAUUGUAAAAUUCUUUCACCGGGGAAGAUAAUGACGGUACCCGGAGAAGAAGCCCGGCUAACUUCGUGCCAGCAGCCGCAGUAAU